rnacentral:misc_RNA from 1 species
CUAAGGAGCACUUCUCCGCGGACACCCACACAGGUGGGACGGUAAACGUCUUGUGGCAGAGACCGUUUCGGAUGCAUACGUCAUCCGGCGGACGCUCAUGGGUGGAACGCUGACAAGUUUCAUCGCACUCGAUCGGGACUGUGUUCCUGGUCGCGGUGGAUAUACCGACACACUACUGGGUCCUGAAAGAACAGACGUUCUUUCCAGGCAAGAUAACGACAGGACUGGCCUUUCAGUCAUACCGCCGGAUGUGGUCCGGGCUGGUGCUGAGGUGUGGGUUGGUUUUGUGUGUUGUUUGAGAACUGCACAGUGGACGCGAGCAUCUUUGUUAGUAAGUGUUUAAGAGCGUAC